rnacentral:rRNA from 1 species
UACGAGGGGUCCUAGCGUUGUUCGGAAUCAUUGGGCGUAAAGGGUGUGUAGGUGGCUAUGUAAGUCAGGUGUGAAAGCCCCGGGCUCAACCCGGGAAGUGCAUCUGAUACUGCGUAGCUUGAGUACCGAAGAGGAUAGUGGAAUUCCAGGUGUAGUGGUGAAAAUACGUAGAUAUCUGGAGGAACACCGGUGGCGAAGGCGGCUAUCUCGUCGAGUACUGACACUGAGACACGAAAGCAUGGGGAUCAAACAGGAUUAGAAUACCCCCAGU